GGGCAUAUGGCUCAGUUGGUAGAGCGCCCGCUUAGCAUGCGGGAGGUCUUGGGUUCGAAUCCCAAUUUGUCCA
rfam:Botryobasidium botryosum FD-172 SS1 unplaced genomic scaffold BOTBOscaffold_67, whole genome shotgun sequence.